GAUGAACGCUGGCGGCGUGCUUAACACAUGCAAGUCGAACGAAGAUGCCGGAGUGCUUGCACUUUGGCAGACUGAGUGGCGGACGGGUGAGUAACGCGUGGGUAACCUGCCUUAUACAGGGGGAUAACAGUUGGAAACGACUGCUAAUACCGCAUAAGCGCACGGUAUCGCAUGAUACAGUGUGAAAAACUCCGCUUUGAGAUGGCCUCGCGUCCGAUUAGCUAGUUGGUGAGGUAACGGCCCACCAAGGCGACGAUCGGUAGCCGGACUGAGAGGUUGAACGGCCACAUUGGGACUGAGACACGGCCCAGACUCCUACGGGAGGCAGCAGUGGGGAAUAUUGCACAAUGGGGGAAACCCUGAUGCAGCGACGCCGCGUGGAGGAAGAAGGUCUUCGGAUUGUAAACUCCUGUUGUUGGGGAAGAUAAUGACGGUACCCAACAAGGAAGUGACGGCUAACUACGUG
rnacentral:rRNA from 1 species